rnacentral:lncRNA from 1 species
UCCCCUUGAGUUAUAUCCUCAUUGGGUUGAGACUUUGUUUGACCAUUUCUUUCUAGCUAUUACCUAGAUAGAUAUUUUGGUCCCUUUAGUGUCUAUUACCCAGUAAUUGGUAAUAUUCUUCUCAAUUUUUUUAGUACUUUACUUUUUCCCAAUACCUGGUAAAUGUAAUCUACUUCCUUGGUUUUCCCCAGCGGAUUCG